rnacentral:rRNA from 1 species
GAUAAUAGCAUCGGCGUACAGAACGACCAGAACUCAGUAAUAACUUUUGGGUGGAACCCCCCCAGGCUGUAAAAAGCCAUAAGCCACAUUAACCCCUUCCCCAAAAAAAAACAAUUUCGACUCGUGAAAGUAGGAAUACAAACUAAGAUUAGAUACCUUACUAUGCCUAACCUAACACACAGUUAAACCACCAACUGUUCGCCAAAUAACUACGAGUAAAGACUUAAAACUUAAAAGACUUGACGGUACUUCACACCCCCCUAGAGGAGCCUGUCUAAUAACCGAUACCCCACGAUUAACCCAACCCGCUCUGGCCCCCCAGUCUAUAUACCGCCAUCGCCAGCUCACCUUGUGAAAGAAACAAAGCGAGCCCAAAAGCACCACACCCGCUGCUAACACGAUAGGUCGAGGUGUAACUUAUGAGCGGGGAUAAGAUGGGCUACAUUUUCUAACAAAGAAAACACGAAUAAAAUACGAAAGUAUAAACCGAAGGCGGAUUUAGCAGUAUGUUGGGGACAAAAUACUUAACAGAAAUUAAUGCAAUGAAGUGCGUACACACCGCCCGUCAUCCCUGCCACACUACUAUUAACCUUUAUAAACUCACAUUAAUCCUAAAACAGGGCAAGUCGUAACAUGGUAAGCGUACUGGAAAGUGCGCUUAGAAACAAAAAGUAGCUUACCUUAAAGCAUUCGACCUACACUCGAACGACAUUACACUUAAUCUUUUUGAGCUGACCAAUGAACACACAAAAAUCUAUUAAUUACCAAACAAACCAUUUGACCAACCAAGUAGAUGCG